CACACACACACACACACACACACACACACACACACACACACACACACACACACACACACCUUUCUAUUUCACUUCAGUUAUCAUAAAAUGUCAAGUGAAAUAGAAUGGUGAACACAGCAAUCAAGUUGGUUCCACUCGGUUAUGCUCUGGACAUUAUAUGCAUCUAAGUAGAAAAUAAGCAACAAAUAACGUCAGUUUCAAUAAAUUAUGUUUCCCAUUUGGGUUAUCAAACGUAUCAAUGUAAUGAGGUGGGUUACCUUCUGCAUUUGUACAAAUGAUGAGCCUGUGAAAGCUGUUGCUGCUGACAGCUGAAUGUUGCUGGCCGGAUACUUGCCAACAUUCAUAGGAAUGCUCACAGCGAGGUCAUGUCUGCAUGAUGCUGAUGACAGGUGAAUGUUGCUGGCCGGAUACUUGCCAACAUUCAUAGGAAUGCUCACAGCGAGGUCAUGUCUGCAUGAUGCUGAUGACAGGUGAAUGUUGCUGGCCGGAUACUUGCCAACAUUCAUAGGAAUGCUCACAGCGAGGUCAUGUCUGCAUGUUGCUGCUGACAGGUGAAUGUUGCUGGCCGGAUACUUGCCAACAUUCAUAGGAAUGCUCACAGCGAGGUCAUGUCUGCAUGAUGCUGAUGACAGGUGAAUGUUGCUGGCCGGAUACUUGCCAACAUUCAUAGGAAUGCUCACAGCGAGGUCAUGUCUGCAUGAUGCUGAUGACAGGUGAAUGUUGCUGGCCGGAUACUUGCCAACAUUCAUAGGAAUGCUCACAGCGAGGUCAUGUCUGCAUGUUGCUGCUGACAGGUGAAUGUUGCUGGCCGGAUACUUGCCAACAUUCAUAGGAAUGCUCACAGCGAGGUCAUGUCUGCAUGAUGCUGAUGACAGGUGAAUGUUGCUGGCCGGAUACUUGCCAACAUUCAUAGGAAUGCUCACAGCGAGGUCAUGUCUGCAUGAUGCUGAUGACAGGUGAAUGUUGCUGGCCGGAUACUUGCCAACAUUCAUAGGAAUGCUCACAGCGAGGUCAUGUCUGCAUGUUGCUGCUGACAGGUGAAUGUUGCUGGCCGGAUACUUGCCAACAUUCAUAGGAAUGCUCACAGCGAGGUCAUGUCUGCAUGAUGCUGAUGACAGGUGAAUGUUGCUGGCCGGAUACUUGCCAACAUUCAUAGGAAUGCUCACAGCGAGGUCAUGUCUGCAUGAUGCUGAUGACAGGUGAAUGUUGCUGGCCGGAUACUUGCCAACAUUCAUAGGAAUGCUCACAGCGAGGUCAUGUCUGCAUGUUGCUGCUGACAGGUGAAUGUUGCUGGCCGGAUACUUGCCAACAUUCAUAGGAAUGCUCACAGCGAGGUCAUGUCUGCAUGAUGCUGAUGACAGGUGAAUGUUGCUGGCCGGAUACUUGCCAACAUUCAUAGGAAUGCUCACAGCGAGGUCAUGUCUGCAUGUUGCUGCUGACAGGUGAAUGUUGCUGGCCGGAUACUUGCCAACAUUCAUAGGAAUGCUCACAGCGAGGUCAUGUCUGCAUGAUGCUGCUGACAGCUGAAUGUUGCUGGCCGGAUACUUGCCAACAUUCAUAGGAAUGCUCACAGCGAGGUCAUGUCUGCAUGAUGCUGCUGACAGCUGAAUGUUGCUGGCCGGAUACUUGCCAACAUUCAUAGGAAUGCUCACAGCGAGGUCAUGUCUGCAUGUUGCUGCUGACAGGUGAAUGUUGCUGGCCGGAUACUUGCCAACAUUCAUAGGAAUGCUCACAGCGAGGUCAUGUCUGCAUGAUGCUGAUGACAGCCCACUUGCUGGACUUUUCGAUGCUGCAUUUUUGGCUGCAAACUAGAUAGCUCUCGAACAACUGCAGCAGGCAAUCUUAUGAGGUGGUGUUGACUGAGAGAGCCUGUGACAGGGUGAUAUAAUUGACUGCCAAGUGGCGAAUUGCAUUUUGUUCUAAAGAAAUGACAAAGCUUUUUGCUCAUGCAACCAAAAUGAAAACUAGCUGUAUUUGUUUGGCUGGGGAAUUAGCUUACUAGUUUAUCA